UACGGAGGGUGCAAGCGUUGUUCGGAUUUACUGGGCGUAAAGCGCGCGCAGGUGGGUGAACAAGUCGGAAGUGAAAUCUUGAGGCUCAACCUCGAGGCUGCUCCCGAAACUGUUCGCCUAGGGACUGGUAGAGGCUGGUAGAAUUCCCGGUGUAGCGGUGGAAUGCGUAGAGAGUCGGGAAGAAUACCUGUGGCGAAGGCGGCCAGCUGGGCCAGAUCCGACACUGAGGCGUGAAAGCGUGGGGAGCAAACAGG
rnacentral:rRNA from 1 species